rnacentral:RNase_P_RNA from 2 species
ACAGCUGGAAGCCUCUGUUAGGAGAUUUUUACAAAUUUUUCUUAGGAAGGUCUGAGACGGAGCGCUGCGUGCUAUCGAGGAAACUCCUUAGAAGCCAUCGUAAUGAUAUGCAUUUAAUGAUGUAGUCGCCUGUAAUAGAAAACAGCAAGUCGGUAGACCUCUUCCAUAGUACUCCAGGAUUUCAUGAUGAUUUCUUCUAGGAAUCUAAGCUAUGCCUGUUGAAGCAUUUGAGAAGAUGACAAGUCUUUCAUUUAUUUUUGCCUGUUGAAAUUCAGCAGGAACACAAAAAUUUAUGCGAGGUGCGUUUGCAUGGAAAGGGGCGAUGAUCCACUUAAAGCAGUUUAAUACAGGGGGUUCCAGUUGGAAUAACAAAAUUCAGACUACUCUUCAGCAGU